AUACGUAGGUGGCGAGCGUUAUCCGGAAUUACUGGGUGUAAAGGGUGUGUAGGCGGGCAGGCAAGUCGGAUGUGAAAAUUAUGGGCUCAACCCAUAAAGUGCGACCGAAACUGUUUUUCUUGAGGAUCGGAGAGGUAAUGAGAAUUCCCGGUGUAGCGGUGAAAUGCGCAGAGAUCGGGAGGAAUACCGGUGGCGAAGGCGAAUUACUGGACGAUAACUGACGCUGAGACACGAAAGCGUGGGGAGCAAACAGGAUUAGAUACCCCGGUAGUCCUGGCAGAAAACGAUGUAUGCUGGGUGUGAGACUAGCGAUAGUUUCGUGCCGAAGUUAACGCGAUAAGCAUACCGCCUGGGGAGUACGGUCGCAAGAUUGAAACUCAAAUGAAUUGACGGGG
rnacentral:rRNA from 1 species